UACGAGGGGGGCAAGCGUUGUUCGGAAUUCUUGGGCGUAAAGGGUGCGUAGGCGGUUUUGUAAGUCUUGUGUGAAAUCUUCAGGCUCAACUUGAAGACUGCACGAGAAACUGCAGGGCUUGAGUGUGGGAGAGGUGAGUGGAAUUCCUGGUGUAGCGGUGAAAUGCGUAGAUAUCGGGAGGAACACCGGUGGCGAAGGCGGCCCCCUGGUUGGAUACUGACGCUGAGACGCGAAAGCGUGGGGAGCAAACAGG
rnacentral:rRNA from 1 species